rnacentral:rRNA from 1 species
UUGGAGGGCAAGUCUGGUGCCAGCAGCCGCGGUAAUUCCAGCUCCAAUAGCGUAUAUUAAAGUUGUUGCAGUUAAAAAGCUCGUAGUUGAAUUUCGGGGUUCAUUCGUUGGUCGGGCUUUUUUGGUCUGUACUGGCGUGAUGGAUUCCUACCUUCUGAAUAACCAGCAUGUCAUUAAUUUGGUGCGCUGGGGAAGCAGGACUGUUACCUUGAAAAAAUUAGAGUGCUUAAAGCAGGCUAUCGUCUGAAUACAUUAGCAUGGAAUAAUGAAAUAGGACGGCAUGGUUCUAUUUUGUUGGUUUCUAGGAUCACCGUAAUGAUUAAUAGGGAUAGUUGGGGGCAUUAGUAUUCAAUUGUCAGAGGUGAAAUUCUUGGAUUUAUUGAAGACUAACUUCUGCGAAAGCAUUUGCCAAGGAUGUUUUCAUUAAUCAAGAACGAAAGUUAGGGGAUCGAAGACGAUCAGAUACCGUCGUAGUCUUAACCAUAAACUAUGCCGACUAGGGAUCGGACGAUGUUAAUUUUUUAAUGACUCGUUCGGCGCCUUACGGGAAAC